GAUACCCCUGUAGUCCUGGCCGUAAACGAUGAACACUAGGUGUCGGGGGAAUCGACCCCCUCGGUGUCGUAGCCAACGCGUUAAGUGUUCCGCCUGGGGAGUACGCACGCAAGUGUGAAACUCAAAGGAAUUGACGGGGGCCCGCACAAGCGGUGGAGUAUGUGGUUUAAUUCGAUGCAACGCGAAGAACCUUACCAGGGUUUGACAUCCUGCGAAUCUUUUGGAAACAGAAGAGUGCCUUCGGGAACGCAGUGACAGGUGGUGCAUGGCUGUCGUCAGCUCGUGUCGUGAGAUGUUGGGUUAAGUCCCGCAACGAGCGCAACCCACGUCUUUAGUUGCCAGCAUUCAGUUGGGCACUCUAGAGAGACCGCCGGUGAUAAACCGGAGGAAGGUGUGGAUGACGUCAAGUCAUCAUGCCCCUUACAUCCUGGGCUACACACGUACUACAAUGCUACGGACAAAGGGCAGCAAACUCGCGAGAGCUAGCAAAUCCCAUAAACCGUGGCUCAGUUCAGAUCGUAGGCUGCAACUCGCCUACGUGAAGGAGGAAUCGCUAGUAAUCGCAGGUCAGCAUACUGCGGUGAAUACGUUCCCGGGCCUUGUACACACCGCCCGUCACACCAUGGAAGUUGGCCACGCCCGAAGCCGUUACUCCAACCCUUGUGGAGGAGGACGUCGAAGGUGGGGCUGAUGACUGGGGUGAAGUCGUAACAAGGUAGCCGUACCGGAAGGUGC
rnacentral:rRNA from 1 species